AAUUAGGUCAUAGCAUAUUACCGUGUUGAGAAACCCUAAUUAUUUAACUCAGUUAUGAGAUAUGACUGAGUAGUGACUGUGUAUAUGAAGGUUACUGUGUAUAAGAUGUCGGUAAUUAGAAGAAAACCCUAAUUACUGUUGUUUGUCGAUAAUUAGGACAAACCCUAAUUAUUACAACCCUAAUCGGUUGAAGUUAGAGAUCGUAAUGACUGUGUUAAAACAUACACAGACAAUUAGAGAACCCUAAUGGUCAAUUAGAAACCUUAAUUGAUGGCGUUACGAAACCC
rnacentral:lncRNA from 1 species